AUUAUCUAUUAUCACCUUGAACAUGCCGGAUCUUGUCUGAUCUCAGAAGCUAAGCAGGGGUGGGCCUGGUUAGUACUUGGAUGGGAGGUUCAUUCUUAAGAUAACAAGAAUCCUGCAUUGAUAAAA
rnacentral:rRNA from 1 species